UACGUAGGGUGCAAGCGUUGUCCGGAAUUAUUGGGCGUAAAGAGCUCGUAGGCGGUUUGUCGCGUCUGCUGUGAAAAACUCGGGGCUUAACCCCGGGCCUGCAGUGGGUACGGGCAGACUAGAGUGCGGUAGGGGAGUCUGGAAUUCCUGGUGUAGCGGUGAAAUGCGCAGAUAUCAGGAGGAACACCGGUGGCGAAGGCGGGACUCUGGGCCGAUACUGACGCUGAGGAGCGAAAGCGUGGGGAGCGAACAGG
rnacentral:rRNA from 1 species